CGGAGAGCUCGGGGGCUCGGCCAGUUUCCCGCAGAGCCGUGGUCUGGAGCCUCUCCUGCGGUUUGAAUCCCGUCGCGGACGGACAGAGAGCAGGAAAGAACGCAUGGGGAGGCCUGUGUGGACAGCGGCUCACACACGACGGUGUGACGGUUGCACGACACGCAUGUCCUCGGGGCCGCUGAACGGAUCACCUACUGAGAACGGGCCACGCCCAGGCACCUGCUCUGCUACCUGUUUCGGGUUGCUAGAACUGUUAAUGCAAACCAUUGCUGGCAAAGAAAAAGCCACCUUAGUGACCCACCUGCUGUCAGCCCUUGUUCCAGACUGUCCUGAGGUGGGCGUGACCAAUGUCAGCUGCUCCGUCCAGCUAACGGGAAGCCCUUUCCAGGGGACACCUCACACGGCCAAACAUUUCAAGAACCUGCUAUCCAUGCAGCGAGAGAAGACAGAGUCCCUGACUUCACGGAGCUGGGAAAGAAAAACACCAUAAGCAUAU